AGGUUAAGUUAAUAAGGGCGCACGGUGGAUGCCUUGGCACUAGGAGCCGACGAAGGACGUGACAAACGACGAUAUGCCUUGGGUAGCUGUAAGUAAGCGAUGAUCCAGGGAUUUCCGAAUGGGGGAACCCAACAGGUAAUACCUGUUACCCACAUCUGUUAAGGAUGUGAGGAGGAAGACGCAGUGAACUGAAACAUCUAAGUAGCUGCAGGAAGAGAAAGCAAAAGCGAUUGCCUUAGUAGCGGCGAGCGAAACGGCAGGAGGGCAAACCGAAGAGUUUACUCUUCGGGGUUGUAGGACUGGCAAUGUGGACUCAAAGAUUAUAGAAGAAUGAUUUGGGAAGAUCAGCCAAAGAGAGUAAUAGCCUCGUAUUUAAAAUAGUCUUUGUACUUAGCAGUAUCCUGAGUACGGCGGGACACGUGAAAUCCCGUCGGAAUCCGGGAGGACCAUCUCCCAACCCUAAAUACUCCCUAGUGACCGAUAGUGAACCAGUACGUGAGGGAAAGGUGAAAAGCACCCCGGGAGGGGAGUGAAAUAGAACCUGAAACCGUGUGCCUUACAACAAGUUCGAGCCCGUUAAUGGGUGAGAGCGUGCUUUUGUAGAAUUGAACCGGCGAGUUACGUUAUGAUGCGAGGUUAAGUUGAAGAGACGGAGCCGUAGGAAAACCGAGUCUGAAUAGGGCGCCUUAGUAUCAUGACGUAAGACCCGAAACCAUGUGACCCUACCCAUGAAGCAGGUUUGAAGGUUGCGGUAAGACGCACUGGAGGACCGAACCAGGCACGUUGAAAAAGUGCUUGGAUGACUUGUGGGUAGGCGGAGAAAUUCCAAAACGAAACUUGGAGAUAGCUUGGUUCUCUCCGAAAUAGCUUUAGGGCUAGCGUCGACAUUAGAGAUUCUUGGAGGUAGAGCACUGUUUGGGUUGAGGGGUCCAUCCCGGAUUACCAAUCUCAGAUAAACUCCGAAUGCCAAUGAAUUAUGGUCGGCAGUCAGACUGCGAGUGCUAAGAUCCGUAGUCGAAAGGGAAACAGCCAGACCACCAGCUAAGGUCCAAAAUAAUUGUUAAGUGGAAAAGGAUGUGGGGUUGCACAGACAACUAGGAUGUUAGCUUAGAAGCAGCUAUUCAUUCAAAGAGUGCGUAAUAGCUCACUAGUCGAGUGACCCUGCGCCGAAAAUGUACCGGGGCUAAAACAAUUUACCGAAGCUGUGGAUACCUUUAUAGGUAUGGUAGGAGAGCGUUCUAUGUGUGAUGAAGGUGUACCGUGAGGAGUGCUGGAACGCAUAGAAGUGAGAAUGCCGGUAUGAGUAGCGAAAGACAGGUGAGAAUCCUGUCCACCGUAAGACUAAGGUUUCCAGGGGAAGGCUCGUCCGCCCUGGGUUAGUCGGGACCUAAGGAGAGACCGAAAGGUGUAUCCGAUGGACAA
rnacentral:rRNA from 1 species